rnacentral:rRNA from 1 species
AUUGAACGCUGGCGGCAGGCCUAACACAUGCAAGUCGAGCGGAUGACGGGAGCUUGCUCCUUGAUUCAGCGGCGGACGGGUGAGUAAUGCCUAGGAAUCUGCCUGGUAGUGGGGGACAACGUUUCGAAAGGAACGCUAAUACCGCAUACGUCCUACGGGAGAAAGCAGGGGACCCUCGGGCCUUGCGCUAUCAGAUGAGCCUAGGUCGGAUUAGCUAGUUGGUGGGGUAAUGGCUCACCUAGGCGACGAUCCGUAACUGGUCUGAGAGGAUGAUCAGUCACACUGGAACUGAGACACGGUCCAGACUCCUACGGGAGGCAGCAGUGGGGAAUAUUGGACAAUGGGCGAAAGCCUGAUCCAGCCAUGCCGCGUGUGUGAAGAAGGUCUUCGGAUUGUAAAGCACUUUAAGUUGGGAGGAAGGGCAGUAAGUUAAUACCUUGCUGUUUUGACGUUACCGACAGAAUAAGCACCGGCUAACUCUGUGCCAGCCGCCGCGGUAAGAC